UACGUAGGGUGCAAGCGUUGUCCGGAAUUAUUGGGCGUAAAGAGCUCGUAGGCGGUCUGUCGCGUCGGCUGUGAAAACUCGGGGCUCAACCCCGAGCCUGCAGUCGAUACGGGCAGACUAGAGUGCUGUAGGGGAGAUCGGAAUUCCUGGUGUAGCGGUGAAAUGCGCAGAUAUCAGGAGGAACACCGGUGGCGAAGGCGGAUCUCUGGGCCAUUACUGACGCUGAGGAGCGAAAGCGUGGGGAGCGAACAGG
rnacentral:rRNA from 1 species